rnacentral:rRNA from 1 species
GGAAAAGAAAUCAACCGAGAUUCCCCCAGUAGCGGCGAGCGAACGGGGAGGAGCCCAGAGCCUGAAUCAGUGUGUGUGUUAGUGGAAGCGUCUGGAAAGGCGUGCGAUACAGGGUGACAGCCCCGUACACAAAAAUGCACAUAUUGUGAGCUCGAUGAGUAGGGCGGGACACGUGGUAUCCUGUCUGAAUAUGGGGGGACCAUCCUCCAAGGCUAAAUACUCCUGACUGACCGAUAGUGAACCAGUACCGUGAGGGAAAGGCGAAAAGAACCCCGGCGAGGGGAGUGAAAAAGAACCUGAAACCGUGUACGUACAAGCAGUGGGAGCCUCUUAAUGGGGUGACUGCGUACCUUUUGUAUAAUGGGUCAGCGACUUAUAUUCUGUAGCAAGGUUAACCGAAUAGGGGAGCCGAAGGGAAACCGAGUCUUAACUGGGCGUUAAGUUGCAGGGUAUAGACCCGAAACCCGGUGAUCUAGCCAUGGGCAGGUUGAAGGUUGGGUAACACUAACUGGAGGACCGAACCGACUAAUGUUGAAAAAUUAGCGGAUGACUUGUGGCUGGGGGUGAAAGGCCAAUCAAACCGGGAGAUAGCUGGUUCUCCCCGAAAGCUAUUUAGGUAGCGCCUCGUGAAUUCAUCUCCGGGGGUAGAGCACUGUUUCGGCAAGGGGGUCAUCCCGACUUACCAACCCGAUGCAAACUGCGAAUACCGGAGAAUGUUAUCACGGGAGACACACGGCGGGUGCUAACGUCCGUCGUGAAGAGGGAAACAACCCAGACCGCCAGCUAAGGUCCCAAAGUCAUGGUUAAGUGGGAAACGAUGUGGGAAGGCCCAGACAGCCAGGAUGUUGGCUUAGAAGCAGCCAUCAUUUAAAGAAAGCGUAAUAGCUCACUGGUCGAGUCGGCCUGCGCGGAAGAUGUAACGGGGCUAAACCAUGCACCGAAGCUGCGGCAGCGACACUAUGUGUUGUUGGGUAGGGGAGCGUUCUGUAAGCCUGUGAAGGUGGCCUGUGAGGGUUGCUGGAGGUAUCAGAAGUGCGAAUGCUGACAUAAGUAACGAUAAAGCGGGUGAAAAGCCCGCUCGCCGGAAGACCAAGGGUUCCUGUCCAACGUUAAUCGGGGCAGGGUGAGUCGACCCCUAAGGCGAGGCCGAAAGGCGUAGUCGAUGGGAAACAGGUUAAUAUUCCUGUACUUGGUGUUACUGCGAAGGGGGGACGGAGAAGGCUAUGUUGGCCGGGCGACGGUUGUCCCGGUUUAAGCGUGUAGGCUGGUUUUCCAGGCAAAUCCGGAAAACCAAGGCUGAGGCGUGAUGACGAAGCACUACGGUGCUGAAGCGACAAAUGCCCUGCUUCCAGGAAAAGCCUCUAAGCAUCAGGUAACAUCAAAUCGUACCCCAAACCGACACAGGUGGUCAGGUAGAGAAUACCAAGGCGCUUGAGAGAACUCGGGUGAAGGAACUAGGCAAAAUGGUGCCGUAACUUCGGGAGAAGGCACGCUGAUAUGUAGGUGAAGCGACUUGCUCGUGGAGCUGAAAUCAGUCGAAGAUACCAGCUGGCUGCAACUGUUUAUUAAAAACACAGCACUGUGCAAACACGAAAGUGGACGUAUACGGUGUGACGCCUGCCCGGUGCCGGAAGGUUAAUUGAUGGGGUUAGCGGUAACGCGAAGCUCUUGAUCGAAGCCCCGGUAAACGGCGGCCGUAACUAUAACGGUCCUAAGGUAGCGAAAUUCCUUGUCGGGUAAGUUCCGACCUGCACGAAUGGCGUAAUGAUGGCCAGGCUGUCUCCACCCGAGACUCAGUGAAAUUGAACUCGCUGUGAAGAUGCAGUGUACCCGCGGCAAGACGGAAAGACCCCGUGAACCUUUACUAUAGCUUGACACUGAACAUUGAGCCUUGAUGUGUAGGAUAGGUGGGAGGCUUUGAAGUGUGGACGCCAGUCUGCAUGGAGCCGACCUUGAAAUACCACCCUUU